rnacentral:sRNA from 1 species
AUGUAGCACUCGUACAUCCCGGUUCCUCCGCGCCAUCUGCACCCACCUGACGACCGCUCGCCAUGUUUUCUUGGGC